CACUUCCCUGAAACUGCGUUCUCAAUAAUCACUUAAUCAACGAAUCCACAGCAGCUUUUUCACAAUCCUCAUAUUUCUCAUCCUUCCUACCACUGAUGAGAUCUCCUCCCUUUUUGAAACUACUUUAUUUUGCCUUCUGUGCCACUGCACUAUCCUAAAUCUUCCUCCUUGUUUAACUACCACUUCUCUACCUUCUUGGCUGUUUUCUUUUCCUGUUCCUUCCAUCUAAGGCUAUAUUCACAGGAGUUCUGUUCUCAGUCUCUCUACCUCUCUGCAUUCUCUCCCAAUUGAUGCACCCCUAUGAUUUCACUACCAUGGGAUGUUAACUCCCAAAUCUCCACCUCUAGUUCUAAACACCACCACCUCAUCGCUUGAGUCCUGCCUUUUCUGAUUGCUGAAGAUGUUCACUUGGUUGUUCAACCAGCACCUCAAACUUACCUUGUCCUAAAUCAAACCUGCAGUUUCAGGGAAGUGAAACUGCAAAAGGUAAAAGUAAAUGGUGGAAGAAAUGAAUAUAGACUAUUCAAAAAUUAUAAUGUUUUGUGUAAAAGAGAGUGGAGGAGCAGCUAUGAAGGGUGUUGCUUGAAUCAUGUGAUUCUUAAUAUUCAUCUUAAUAUUUCCACUUUUAUGAAUUAAUGUCACCAUCAUUCUUUGAAUUGCCAAGGUCAAAAUAUUUGGAUCAUCUUUCCUGUCUCAGCACAGUGUUCUGUGCACAAGCUCUGGAUGGUGAACUUGUAUCCUCAUUCUUUCACUGCAUGGCAGUGACCUUGAGCAAGUCACUGGGCUUCUCCAGGCUUCAGUGCGGCCUUCAUAACAUAGUUAUGAAGUUUACAUGAGAAAACAGUUGUGCAGUUUACAUGAGAAGAUGUACAUAAGGGCACAAAGAGUUUAGCAUGUGGCAAACUAUGAUGAGGAUGACAGAAAAAGACUCUCAAUGAUCUGUUCACACUUUUCUCAUUCCUUACAUAACUGUUGUCACAACUCACAUGGCCCUUACCUAUGUCAUCGCAAAUACAUUUAAACACAGGAGGACAACCUAGGUUGUAAAGUGUUAAAGUGCCUCAAAUUUUCAUUAAUCUCAACCAAGCCAUUCCAAACCAAGACCUACAACAUACAUCUACUUACAUAUCCAUGUGCUUUUCUCUCAUUGUAUGCUAAAUAAUGCAAAGAGAAUUCAGGAACUGACCUUAUUUGACCCCAAUUUCAAACAGCAUUUUAUAAGCCAUAUGGUCAGAAAUUAAAAUCACUCUCAAUUCUUGAUAAUACAGAUGAAAAACCCAGAUUUAGAUUCCAUUGCUUGUUUUGGAAAACAAAAAGUUAUACUCCCUAUGUUUAAAGAAAACUCUUGUAACUUCCAGUCUGACAUUAUUGCUAUAACAAACACAUUAUUUAUAAGCCAGCCUAGAAAUAACUUUUGGCUCAAACUUUGGCAGAAAAUUUAUUUUGUUUUUUUUUUUUAAGACAAUAUUGACUUUAGCUAUUUCUGCUUGUGUACAGAAUUAAAGAGAAAAUCUCUGCAUAAUCUGACAUUUUGAUAUUAAUAUUUGGAAAGAAAGUAGUCUACAAGUGGCUCUCAGAUGAGGCCUGUAACCAUUCUAGAAUUCACACAGAAAAACUGGAUGCCUGGGACACAGUCAUGCAGAUUUAAGGAUCCCUUUACACUCCUACAAUUUAAGAGGUGAGAAGAGAGUAGUGCUGGCCUGUAAAGCCAUCCAUUGACAGUUGGGGACACUGAGCCUCAGGGAGUCACAUGAUUUGGCUGUAAGCUCACACCUAGUGAGAGGACAAGGAGAUUUAGGACCCAGCUUUCAAUUCCUAACCUAUACACGUUCCAUUACUUAGAGUUAAAAAAUCAGGCUUAUUAACUUAAUUUCCAUUUUCAAAAGCAAUCAUUUCUAAUUACAAGUUGAGCAUCCCAAACCUAAAAAUCUGAAAUCCAAAAUCCUCUAAUGAGCAUUUCCUUUUGAGUGUCAUGCUGCUGCUCAGAGAAUUUUGGAUUUUGAAACAUUUUUGAGUUUGAGAUUUUUGGAUUUGGACUGCUCAACCAUUAAGUAUAAUGCACAUGUUCCAAAAAUCUGAAAAAAAAUGCAAAAUACAAAACACUUCUGGUCUCAAGCAUUUCAUGUAAGGGUUACCCAAACUGCAAUGGGAUUUUUUUUAAACAUUCUUUUAAACCAAGGUAGUGGUUGUAUUUAAAGUAUCUAUCAUGCUUUGAAAGCAUAUUUUUUUAAAGUUCAUUUUUGAGAGAGACAACACAGAUUUACAAAAAAAACCCCAAAAGCUUAAAAAGCAUUGAUGAAAAGGUAGCUCAUUUUCAAACUUUAAAUGGUGAGUAAAGUAAUUCAGCAACCCAAACCAGUAUUUCUUGAACCAGUCUUUAAAAUUUUAAGUAAUUAAAAAUUUAAAGCCAAAUGAUACAUAUUUGUACUAUCUUAUGAUUUAGAACUGUUACCAUACUGCACUACAUUGCAUCUUUCUUGCCAUUUGAACCAUUAGUCACUAGGAAACCUCAAGAAACUCACAGCUGCUCUCUCCUGCACGUGUGAAAUUGAU
rnacentral:lncRNA from 1 species